rnacentral:rRNA from 1 species
GAUGAACGCUGGCGGCGUGCUUAACACAUGCAAGUCGAACGGAAAGGCCCUGCUUGCAGGGUACUCGAGUGGCGAACGGGUGAGUAACACGUGGGUGAUCUGCCCUGCACUUCGGGAUAAGCCUGGGAAACUGGGUCUAAUACCGGAUAGGAGCCAUUUUUAGUGUGAUGGUUGGAAAGUUUUUUCGGUGUAGGAUGAGCUCGCGGCUUAUCAGCUUGUUGGUGGGGUAAUGGCCUACCAAGGCGGCGACGGGUAGCCGGCCUGAGAGGGUGGACGGCCACAUUGGGACUGAGAUACGGCCCAGACUCCUACGGGAGGCAGCAGUGGGGAAUAUUGCACAAUGGGCGCAAGCCUGAUGCAGCGACGCCGCGUGGGGGAGGACGGCCUUCGGGUUGUAAACUCCUUUCGCUAGGGACGAAGCUUUUUGUGACGGUACCUAGAGAAGAAGCACCGGCUAACUACGUG